AAUGGUUGGUCAAGUCUGUAGAUGUAUUCUUCUUGCUCAAAGAAUUCCAUUUGUGUCAUCUGUAAUGUGUGCCAAAAGAAUUAAAGAUGUGCUUGGCAAUAUUUCAGCAAUCCCUGCUGUUGCUGUUUUCAUAGUCCAAUGAAAAGGAUUCAGUGCUUAGCAAGGAGUGUGGUCAACGAAUCUGAACUCAUCAUUCAUUGGUUAUCAAUAUUACGCUGCGUCACCAAGCAGGUGACUAUCCAAGGAAUCUCUUGCUGAAUUGAUCAACUUUAAUCUCUUGCAUGUGAAUG